rnacentral:lncRNA from 1 species
UUUGUCAUCACACAUCACUUUACAAUGACUACAUCUACAUGCCUUUAACAGAAAAAUAGGUAGUUUUAAAAAGGAAAAAUUCUAUAGACGGUAUGUGGUAAAAUUUAAGAUGUAAAACACAGAAGCCCUCGUUCUGAUUCAUACAUCAAUUUGCUUUAUUUGGGGGCAAGUUUGCAUAUCCUUGGCACUGUUUGCGUCUAUUAACGGAAGUCUAGAGCCAUUUCAAUAAUAAUACAGAAAUUCAGAACAGUAAAACUAACAAUUCAAGUGUAGAAACUUCUAUUUGAAAUGUAAGUGGAGAUUUAACGGAGUGAAGAGAUGCCAAAGUUGUAUAAAAAAUUUAUAAAAUAGGAUUUGAUGCCAGUGUCCAUGUUACUGCUUUCACAUUCAGUGCCUGAUAAGUUAUUCUCCUGCAUUCUAAAGCCUGCAAAGCUGACUCACUGUUGGUUUCUAUGAAACCAAUUACAAGAACAAGCAAAAGCAUGGAGGACAUGAGUUUUCUUAAAAGGAUGUGAGGGCAAGAACAAAAUGCCAUAUCCAUAAGCAUUGCAUUUGCUUCAUUUAACUAGAUAUUCCCCAAAUGAUUGUAUCCCUAGCGGUUGAUACCAGCUAAUUUCCUAGGAGACAUCGUGACGUCGCUUCUUGAUACUGGCAUUUUCUGUCACUCCUAUCCCCUCUCAUACCAACCUUGCAGUAAAUGCUACAGCCUAAGAGAUAUCUUCGACCUUCGCUGAUGGCUCGUGUUGGUGACCUUGCUCUACCCCUUUAAAACUGUGGCCGUUCACAGUUUCUCAGUCAGUUUGCAGUUAGAGAUUGGACGAGGUAGUCUUACCAAUGAACAACAGAACUUCAAGCCUACCUUUUUCAUUUAUGAUAUCUUAUUGUAAUAACAGCAGUAAAUAGGUUGGAUGGACUCGUACAUGCUCUUCCAACCUAUCGACUACUGGUGAUAUACAACAAGAUACAUGGAAUUGUUUUCCCUUCGAGAUGAAGUAUAAUCGAUUGGAAAUUCGUUGAAAUUUG